rnacentral:rRNA from 1 species
GACGAACGCUGGCGGCGUGCUUAACACAUGCAAGUCGAACGGAAAGGCCCUGCUUUUGUGGGGUGCUCGAGUGGCGAACGGGUGAGUAACAAGUGAGUAACCUGCCCUUGACCUUGGGAUAACUUCAGGAAACUGGGGCUAAUACCGGAUAGGAGCUCCUGCUGCAUUGUGGGGGUUGGAAAGUUUCGGCGGUUGGGGAUGGACUCGCGGCUUAUCAGCUUGUUGGUGGGGUAGUGGCUUACCAAGGCUUUGACGGGUAGCCGGCCUGAGAGGGUGACCGGCCACAUUAGGACUGAGAUACGGACCAGACUCCUACGGGAGGCAGCAGUGGGGAAUAUUGCACAAUGGGCGGAAGCCUGAUGCAGCAACGCCGCGUGCGGGAUGACGGCCUUCGGGUUGUAAACCGCUGUCGCCUGUGACGAAGCGUGAGUGACGGUAAUGGGUAAAGAAGCACCGGCUAACUACGUG